rnacentral:lncRNA from 1 species
GAGAGAAAUCACACUACCAUCAAAGACAAUGGGUCAAAGAGAAUGCCAUCCUAAGCUGAGAAGCCAUCUUCCCAAUGACAUCCAUGUAAUGUGAAAGGGAAAAACAUACUGUUAUUGAAGAACUUAUCAGCUAUGACACAUCAUCCACACAAAUACUCAGGAAAGUUAAAAGAAAAUUUCACCUUGGACACAGUUGACGAUUGCUAAAGUCCUAUUGCAUGCUUUAAGAUGCCUUGCAUUUGGUGAAUUGAAGCCUGAUAUGUCAACAUAUUCUCUGUAAACAAGCAGUACAGAGGGCAAAGAAACACUUAUCAAGCACCACAGCUAGGACAAAAAGAAUUAUUUUGACAGUAAAUGGACUUGCAGCUUAAGGUUGGUGUGUAUCAAAUUGUGACUAAACCAAAAGAAGCAAAUCUGGAAACUGAAGUACCAAUACGUGAAAAGAGUUCUUUUGGUAUUGGGAGUGCCAGUUGUCUUUGUUCAUGAAAUACUUCUUCGUAAUAGACAGCAUGCAGCCGUCUUCAAGAGCUAAAAUAGCAUCCUCCAGGAUAAACAGGAAUACUACACUCUUCCUUAAAUAACAACAACUGUGGCUGGGCGUGGUGGCUCACACCUGUAAUCCCAGCACUUUGGGAGGCCAAGGGGGGCGGAUCACGAAGUCAGGAGAUCAAGACCAUCCUGGCUAACACGGUGAAACCCCGUCUCUACUAAAAAUACAAAAAAUUACACAGGCGCGGUGGCGGGCGCCUAUAGUCCCAGCUACUCCAGAGGCUGAGGCGGGAGAAUGGCGUGAACCUGGGAGGCGGAGCUUGCAAUGAGCCAAGAUCACUCCAUCCUGGGCAACAGGGCGAGACUCUGUCUC